AUUGAACGCUGGCGGCAUGCCUUACACAUGCAAGUCGAACGGCAGCGCGGGGCAACCUGGCGGCGAGUGGCGAACGGGUGAGUAACAUAUCGGAACAUACCCUAGAGUGGGGGAUAACGUAGCGAAAGUUACGCUAAUACCGCAUACGCACUAAGGUGGAAAGUGGGGGAUCUUCGGACCUCAUGCUCAUGGAGUGGCCGAUAUCUGAUUAGCUAGUUGGUGAGGUAAAGGCUCACCAAGGCGACGAUCAGUAGCUGGUUUGAGAGAACGACCAGCCACACUGGAACUGAGACACGGUCCAGACUCCUACGGGAGGCAGCAGUGGGGAAUUUUGGGACAAUGGGGGCAACCCUGAUCCAGCAAUGCCGCGUGAGUGAAGAAGGCCUUCGGUUGUAAGCUCUUUGUCA
rnacentral:rRNA from 1 species